rnacentral:tRNA from 1 species
GGGGGCGUAGCUCAAUCGGUAGAGCAUCGGACUUUUAAUCCGCAGGUUCAGGGUUCGAGUCCCUGCGCCCCCA